GGAGAAAAGCAGGGGAUCGCAAGACCUCGCGCUAUUAGAGUGGCCGAUGUCCGAUUAGCUAGUUGGUGGGGUAAUGGCCCACCAAGGCAACGAUCGGUAGCUGGUCUGAGAGGAUGAUCAGCCACACUGGGACUGAGACACGGCCCAGACUCCUACGGGAGGCAGCAGUGGGGAAUUUUGGACAAUGGGCGCAAGCCUGAUCCAGCCAUGCCGCGUGAGUGAAGAAGGCCUUCGGGUUGUAAAGCUCUUUCGGCCGGAACGAAAUCGUCCGGGCUAAUACCUCGGAUGGAUGACGGUACUGGAAGAAGAAGCACCGGCUAACUACGUGCCAGCAGCCGCGGUAAUACGUAGGGUGCAGGCGUUAAUCGGAAUUACUGGGCGUAAAGCGUGCGCAGGCGGCUUCCUAAGUCAGAUGUGAAAUCCCCGGGCUUAACCUGGGAACUGCGUUUGAAACUACAAAGCUAG
rnacentral:rRNA from 1 species